CUGGAUCACCUCCUUUCUAUGGAGAGAAAGUUGUGCUUUCUUGUUUGGUUUUGAAUGUCUUAGACAUUCAAGAGGACAUUGAAAACUGGAUAGUAGUAAAAAAAAUUGCGAAAACGAUAAAGAAGAGAUUAGACAUUAAAAAAAGGUCUAGUACGAAAAGUCGAAAGUAACUAAGAUUUUACAGCAAGUGUAAACGAAAAAAAGUUCAAGCAAGCAAACCUAGAAGGUAAAGCAAGAAAGGGCGCACGGUGGAUGCCU
rnacentral:misc_RNA from 1 species